CACGUAGGGCGCAAGCGUUGUCCGGAAUUAUUGGGCGUAAAGAGCUCGUAGGCGGUCUGUUGCGUCCGCUGUGAAAACUCGGGGCUUAACCCCGAGCCUGCAGUGGAUACGGGCAGACUAGAGGUAGGUAGGGGAGAAUGGAAUUCCCGGUGUAGCGGUGAAAUGCGCAGAUAUCGGGAGGAACACCGGUGGCGAAGGCGGUUGCCUGGAGCUUUGCUGACGCUGAUGCGCGAAAGCGUGGGGAGCGAUCCGG
rnacentral:rRNA from 1 species